rnacentral:rRNA from 1 species
CCCUUAGACGUUCUGGGCCGCACGCGCGCUACACUGACCAGUGCAACAAGCAUCCGUCCUUGGCCGACAGGCUCGGGCAAUCUUUGAACGCUGGUCGUGAUGGGGAUAGACUUUUGCAAUUUUUGGUCUUCAACGAGGAAUUCCUAGUAAACGCAAGUCAUCAACUUGCAUUGAUUACGUCCCUGCCCUUUGUACACACCGCCCGCCGCACCUACCGAUUGAAUGGUCCGGUGAAGCCUCCGGAUUGGCGCGCACCUCGGUGCCGCCGAGAAGUUGGCUAAACCUUACCAUUUAGAGGAAGGUGAAGUCGUAACA